rnacentral:rRNA from 1 species
ACGCUCGACACCUACGGAGGCAGCAGUGGGGAAUAUUGCACAAUGGGGGAAACCCUGAUGCAGCGACGCCGCGUGAAGGAAGAAGUGUCUCGGUAUGUAAACUUCUAUCAGCAGGGAAGAAAAUGACGGUAUCUGACUAAGAAGCCCCGGCUAACUACGUGUCAGCAGCCGCGGUAAUCUGAGCGGGCUGGCAAGGC